CUCGAGUCUUAAAUCCUCAAGACCUCAUUUUAAGUCCUAAACAUGCGUCUUAAUGCUAAGACACCUCUCGAGGUGUUAUUGCAUCCCGCGUGCUCCUCAAGAUAAUAUCCUAACAGUAAACAUGGCCGCUCUUAAUGAAUCGCACUGCCUUCACCAGCGACGACAGAGACGGACAUUUCGUGAGAGGAAGGACGUCCUGAAUGAGCUAGACAACCGUGAGCUGGUGGAGAGGUAUCGGCUAGACCGUGCUGGUACCAUCUUCGUGACUGAUCUGGUGCGGGAAAGGCCUCCUACCCUGAGAUGUAAGUGAUCAUCACUCUGUGGUACCUGGCUACGGGCAAGAUGCAGCAGUUUAGUGCUGAAGACUUUGGGCCUUCACAGCAGACCUUCAGCAGGGUCAUCAGUGACACGUUGAAAGCCCUCUAAGACAAUGCCAUCCUCUUACAGUUCAUAAGAUUUACAGUCGCCCCAUUGGAAAUUCAAAGGAGGAAGGCGGAGUUCAGUCAGAUUGCUGCCUUCCCUGGAGUGAUUGGUGUCAUUGAUGGGACGCACGUCAGGAUUGUGACGCCAAGGCACACAGAAAAACAGUGUUGUUGAAAUGGGCAUUGGGCAGCUGAAGCGAUGUUUUCACAUACUGCACAGUGAGAUCCAAGUUGAUCCUCUUUCCAGAGUUUGCCAAAUUGUAAAGGUUUAUGCAUUGCUGCACAACAUCUACAAAACCAGGGAUAUCAUUCUUCCUGAAGAAAAAGAAGACUUUUCAGCUGAGGAUGGAGACAAUGAUGAGCAACCCCCAGUACUGGAAGUUCAACAUCACUGUAAGGGAAUCCUGUACAGGGAUGAAUUUACUAUGCUUCACUUUAAGUGGAUUACCUCCUCUUAAUUCAGGUACACUUCUGAUGCACCAGGCAAUUCUGGGCCCUGAUGCUGCAUAGUUGAUGCCAGAAGUGGUGAAGCAGGCACUUCCUUCUCCACACCCACUGCCUCAUUCCCCACUUUUUCCU